AGAUGUAUCCUGAGUAAUCAUUAUAAUAAAGUAUUUAAUUUGAUAUAGUUAAAUAAGAAUUGCUUUAAUAAUUAAUUCUUAACCGUGACAAUCGGUCGUUCACAAUCGAGUACUCCUCCCGAAGAUUGAUCGAUAUCCUCAAGUGUCACUUGUGCAGGUGCAUUGUGAGUAAAAAAUCGCCAAACAAUUUCGAGACGUUCUGAACUACCGAGAGAAUCACAAAAUGUUCCCAUCAACAUCAUUCGAUGCCAAAGUUGCAGAAACGGAUGAACGAAAUGCUAAAUUUCAAUCUGUGUUGGAGAAGAGCAAUGGCAGCUGUAAGAGGAUCUGGGAUAAGUUGGAUGCUAUGGCAAAGAAUAUAAAAAGAGGGAAUGGAGUGAUGCAAGAUUUGAAGGAGAAUCAGAAGAUGAUGAAAGAAUACUUGAAUGAAAUUGGCGACUUGAGUGACUAGAGUAUUUUCAAUCAAGAUGUGUCUUUUCAAAUAAUAUCCACACGCAACAUUCAUAUAUUGGUCAUGAAUUAUGUUUUAUAUCUUAACGCCACAAUUAAUCCACAAUUAGAUUCUAUGGGAAAAUAACUUCUGCGAUUAGUUUCGAAAUUUGAUUUUACGAGUUCAUUAGCACUUGAAUGAACGCAUUGAUUUCCAUUCUUUUUAUGAAGAUUCCAAAGUCUUAGUUAU